rnacentral:rRNA from 1 species
CCUACGGGGGGCAGCAAUUAGGAAUCUUGCGCAAUGGGGGAAACCCUGACGCAGCGACGUCGCGUGGAGGAUGAAGGUCCUCGGAUCGUAAACUCCUUUUAAGAGGGAAGAAUUUUGACGGUACCUCUUGAAUAAGCCCCGGCUAACUACGUGCCAGCAGCCGCGGUAAUACGUAGGGGGCGAGCGUUGUCCGAAGUUACUGGGCGUAAAGCGCGCGUAGGCGGUUCUUUAAGUCUGGGGUGAAAGGUUCAGCGCUCAACGUGAACAGUGCCUUGGAUACUGGAGGACUUGAGUCCGGGAGGGGGAAGCGGAAUUCCUGGUGUAGCGGUGAAAUGCGUAGAUAUCAGGAGGAACACCGGUGGCGAAGGCGGCUUCCUGGCCUGAGACUGACGCUGAGGUGCGAAAGCGUGGGGAGCGAACGGGAUUAGAUACCCCAGUAGUC